GGCUUUACAGCACACCGUAAAGUCUAGCGGUAAACGGGUGAGUAACACGUAAGAAAUCUACCCUGAAGAGAGGAAUACCCCCGAGAAAUCGGAGUUAAUACCUCAUAAGACCACAGCCCGGCAUCGGGAAGGGGUCAAAGCAGCAAUGCGCUUUGGGAUGAUCUUGCGUCCUAUCAGCUAGUUGGCGGGGUAACGGCCCACCAAGGCUAAGACGGGUAGCCGGCCUGAAAGGGCGAUCGGCCACAAUGUAAUCGCGACACGNUGCAUNCUCCUACGGUAGGUCGAAGUGGAGGU
rnacentral:misc_RNA from 1 species